GCAGAGAAAUUUUCUAUUUUGACUUCAAAUUUCCGCCAAAUGUUAUAUGUAAAAAGAUUAAAAAAAACUGCCGCAAAAAAAAAAAAAAACUAAAACCGCAAAAAGAAAACUUUAACUACGAAUAAUCGAAUUUCUUCUCUCUCACCUCUCGGUUUUCAAUAGAAUCUUUCUAUCUCUAUUUUAAAAAGAAACUGUUGAAAAUAUGUUCAGGGUUUGGAAUGAUAGAGGUAAUCUUCUCAUUAAUGAUUAAACCGUGAUUAAUAUUGGUUCAAUUUCUGGAUGUUCUAUCGGUUUUGUUCUUACCAAGAAAAGCAGGAGUGUUGGGACUUCUUACCAAGAAAAGCAGGAGUGUUCGGAAUAGUCCUGACCUAUACUUAAACCUAACCGGAAGUUCUCUCUUCAUUCACAGUUUACGCCUCUCCCCGAUCUCUUCUCUCCCUCCUUUUCUUUUCAGAACCCUAAUAUUCUGUGUUUUUUUUUAAUUUAAUUAACUAUACAUUUCUGUUUUGUUAUCUUUUGUAUGUUUUGCAGGGAUUUACUCUAAACUUUUACUUCCCGUCAUACGGAGAUGAACAAUUUUAUGCUUUAGGGUCGGAAAAGAAAAUACGUAUUGAGGACGUUCGUCUCCUGCCAUUGGAUUUAACGAUUCAUGUUCAGUGAUCUUACAUGCAUCUUGAGAUGUUACACAAGAUGGGAAACUCACGGGGAUCCUACUCUGAGGAACAAUCAUCCAAGCUCAUCUGGUGCUGCAAAUUAUAUAGUAGGUGCCCAUAGUAGUGUUGUCACAAAUUAUGAGGUCUUAAAAACAACUUUAGUCUGAUUUUGAAUCAGUAACAGAUACUGAAUCAAUUUCAAAGCAUACAAAACAUAUCUUUGAUCAGUCAGGAGUGAAGGGAGUGGAGGUGGAUUUGAGUAAUCAAGUUGUAGCAGUGCAGUAGUUGUCGGUUCUUCUCAUGGUCAUGUAAAGAAAAUGUUUAGGCUUUGUGUGCAAGAGAAGGAAAGAAAGCUAGAUUAGUUAGUCAACGGAUCCUUGUAGAUUCUUUUUAAAUUUGAUCUUUUUAUGCAUACAUUGUUGCAUAUAAAGAACUGAAACAAGAGUUGUCUAAAUGGUAUUAUAACUUCCACAAAAAAAGUAUUGAAGCUUAAACACUUUUGGAAAGCAGGUACGAUUUUACUGUAAAAAUGAGAUGUAAUACCUAACCGUAUUCGCUUGAUCGAUUCUGGUGAUCCCAAAGAUUUUCCGGCGACCCAAUUUUGUGCAGAAGCUUGGCAACACCAAACAAAAAAUGCAUCGGAAUGGGGGCGAGGCGUAGCCGAGCCACACCAAAUAAAAAAUUGCAUCGGGACGUGGGUAAGGCGAAGCCGAGCCACACCUAAUUAAAAAUGCAUCGCGAUAGGACGAGACGAAGCCAAACCACACCAAAUUAAAUCAGGACGGGGCAAGGAUGAAGCAUAGCUUUAUCAAAUCAAAUCGGGACGGAGCUAGGCGAGGCGAAGCCGAAGCGAGCUUUACCAAAUCAUAUCAGGACGGACAGAGGCGAGGAGAAGCCAAAACCGACCUUUACCAAAUCAAAAAUAUGGUUCAAAGAAAAAGAUGAUGCCCGAUACGUAGCAGCCAUGGUAUCAUCAGAUAUAGUGUAGAAGGCAUUUUUCUUCAUGGCAGAUAAAUGAAGUAUUCUUCAUUCUAUCUAUUUUGGUGGUAGCAACAUAGCAUAAACAAAUAACAUUUUCUGUAAAUGCAAAUGAAUAGUUUAUCGUCUUUAAUA